GAUGAACGCUGGCGGCGUGCCUAAUACAUGCAAGUCGAGCGAACAGACGAGGAGCUUGCUCCUCUGAUGUUAGCGGCGGACGGGUGAGUAACACGUGGAUAACCUACCUAUAAGACUGGGAUAACCUCGGGAAACCGGAGCUAAUACCGGAUAACAUGUUGAACCGCAUGGUUCAACAGUGAAAGACGGUCCUGCUGUCACUUAUAGAUGGAUCCGCGCCGCAUUAGCUAGUUGGUAAGGUAACGGCUUACCAAGGCAACGAUGCGUAGCCGACCUGAGAGGGUGAUCGGCCACACUGGAACUGAGACACGGUCCAGACUCCUACGGGAGGCAGCAGUAGGGAAUCUUCCGCAAUGGGCGAAAGCCUGACGGAGCAACGCCGCGUGAGUGAAGAAGGUCUUCGGAUCGUAAAACUCUGUUAUUAGGGAAGAACAAAUGUGUAAGUAACUAUGCACGUCUUGACGGUACCUAAUCAGAAAGCCACGGCUAACUACGUG
rnacentral:rRNA from 1 species